AAAACAUAGCCUUUAGCCAAACAAGUAUUAAAGGUCUAGCCUGCCCAGUGAAUUAUUUCAACGGCCGCGGUAUCCUAACCGUGCAAAGGUAGCGUAAUCAUUUGUCUUCUAAAUAGAGACUUGUAUGAACGGCUAACUGAGGGCCCAACUGUCUCCUUAGGCCAAUCAAUGAAACUGAUCUUUCAGUACAAAAGCUGAAAUAAACACAUAAGACGAGAAGACCCUGUGGAGCUUAAAACCUACACUAUAAACGCCCACCCAUCCCUAAAGGAACACCUCCCUCCCCAUAGUAAAAAGUUUUUAGUUGGGGCGACUUUGGAACAAAACAGAACUUCCAUGCCAGGGGCACCUCCCUAUAAAGGCUAACAUGCCAAAAUAAUACUCUUUUGACCCAGCCUGUCUGAUCAACGAACCAAGUUACCCCAGGGAUAACAGCGCCAUCCUCUUCAAGAGUUCCUAUCGACAAGAGGGUUUACGACCUCGAUGUUGGAUCAGGACACCCCGGUGGUGUAGCCGCUACCAAAGGUUCGUUUGUUCAACGAUUAACAGU
rnacentral:rRNA from 1 species